rfam:Nippostrongylus brasiliensis genome assembly, scaffold: NBR_scaffold0000344
GUCUCAGUAGCAUAGUGGUUAGUGCACAGCCCCGGACAGGUUCAGACGCCGGUUCGAUUCCCGCAUGGGAUG